ACUCAGCACUGUGACAGGCUGAAACUGGGGGCCGGAGCAGGGGGGAAACCUGGUACCUGAUUGACCCCAACAGACAGCCCUAGUCAGGAAGUGACUAUCAAAUGAGGAGACUGGACCAGAGGGCCUCAGACAGAAAAGGUCCAUGAUGCAUCAGGGCCAGCUAAUGUCCCUCUCCUACAAACUUGACUCUGCUUUCCUCAGUAUUGAGAUGCUAGUGGGUUUAGUUAUGACAAAUACGCAGUACAAGAGCUGAUCAAAAUCAGGAAAAUGAUUUAAUACAAGGUAACCAAGAGACAGCAAAUUUCAUUGAUCCACCCACACCGUGUGCCAAGCAAUCCCUCCAGAGGCUCAGCAGCAGUUUUUUGAAAUGUCAGAUGCCACCCAGACUACCUCCCUCCCAUUUCUACACACACACUGGGAGAAGAACCUCUGAAUGCAGCUUUGAGCUAAACUUCUUUUCAAACCGGUGAGAUCUCCGCACAUGAGGAGGAAUGUGUGUGUCCAUCUCUCCAGCUGUCAGGGGUAUGUCUAAGAUGCCCAUCACCUUGGUAUCUCAAAUGCCACUUAACAACGCCAAGGAUUAUUCUAGUGGAAUUACCAGAGACGGGAAAAUUCUGCCUUUGCAGAGAAAACAAUUUCACAGAAGACUAAACCAAGUUAGG